rnacentral:rRNA from 1 species
UACGUAGGGACCAAGCGUUGUUCGGAUUUACUGGGCGUAAAGGGCGCGUAGGCGGCUUGACAAGUCACUUGUGAAAUCUCCGGACUUAACUCGGAACGGCCAAGUGAAACUGUCAUGCUAGAGUGCAGAAGGGGCAAUCGGAAUUCUUGGUGUAGCGGUGAAUGCGUAGAUAUCAAGAGGAACACCUGAGGUGAAGACGGGUUGCUGGGCUGACACUGACGCUGAGGCGCGAAAGCCAGGGGAGCAAACGGG